AUUGAACGCCGGCGGAAUGCUUUACACAUGCAAGUCGAACGGUAGAGGGGGCAACCCCUCGAGAGUGGCGAACGGGUGAGUAAUAUAUCGGAACGUGCCCAGUCGUGGGGGAUAACGUAGCGAAAGUUACGCUAAUACCGCAUACGAUCUAAGGAUGAAAGCGGGGGAUCGCAAGACCUCGCGCGAUUGGAGCGGCCGAUAUCAGAUUAGGUAGUGGGUGGGGUAAAGGCUCACCAAGCCAACGAUCUGUAGCUGGUCUGAGAGGACGACCAGCCACACUGGAAGUGAGACACGGUCCAGACACCUACGGGAGGCAGCAGUGGGGAAUUUUGGACAAUGGACGCAAGUCUGAUCCAGCCAUUCCGCGUGCAGGAUGAAGGCCCUCGGGUUGUAAACUGCUUUUGUACGGAACGAAAAGGUCUCUCUUAAUACGGGGGACUCAUGACGGUACCGUAAGAAUAAGCACCGGCUAACUACGUGCCAGCCGCCGCCGUAACAC
rnacentral:rRNA from 1 species